AGCCAAGUGGACCUGAUCGAUGGCCCUCCUGACUUUAUUGAAAUAUUUGAGUUAUUAGAGAUGCCCCCCUCGUGUGUGUGUGUGUCAACACACACACACCCUCACACGCACGGCUCCGGCCCGCGUCCCUCCCUCAUUUCCAGCUCCUGGGCGAAUCCCACAGCUGUUUCAACUCUCCGCCGAGGGCGAGCUGGAGCGAGUGUGUGUCGGGUGAGUGUGCGUCUGUGGCCCGGCGAGGGUGCGCGCUCGGCGCCGGGAGCGCGGCCAGCGGGGUCCCGAGGCAUCAGGAGGCAGAGGGCUGUCCAGAGCCCCGCUCUCCGCCGUUGCGCCGUCCGGGGCCAGACUUCGGGGCCGGGGCCGGACGCCGGGGACAGCAGGGCCGGGCCGGCCGGGCCGCCCGUCCUUCCAGCCAGAGAUCCGUGAGUAGAGAGGGAGGAGAGAAAAGAAACAAAUCCACAAAACACAGCUCCAGACUCCUGCAUCCUGCCAGAAACAAGGGAUCAGCGGGAACGUAAAAUGGCGCCCCCCAGUGUCCUGCUUUGCUUGCUCUCUGCAACUGUCUUCUCUCUCCUGGAUGGAAGUGUGGCGUUCCUGUCCCACCACCGCCUGAAAGGCAGGUUUCAGAGGGACCGCAGAAACAUCCGUCCCAACAUCAUCCUCGUGCUGACGGACGACCAGGAUGUGGAGCUCGGUUCCAUGCAGGUGAUGAACAAGACACGGCGCAUCAUGGAGCAGGGCGGGGCGCACUUUAUCAACGCCUUCGUGACCACGCCCAUGUGCUGCCCCUCACGCUCCUCCAUCCUCACCGGGAAGUACGUCCACAACCACAACACCUACACCAACAAUGAGAACUGCUCCUCGCCCUCCUGGCAGUCGCAGCACGAGAGCCGCACCUUUGCUGUGUACCUCAACAGCACGGGCUACCGGACAGCUUUCUUUGGGAAGUACCUUAAUGAAUACAACGGCUCCUACGUACCGCCUGGCUGGAAGGAGUGGGUCGGCCUCCUUAAAAACUCCCGCUUUUAUAACUACACACUGUGUCGGAACGGAGUGAAGGAGAAGCACGGCUUUGACUACUCCAAGGACUACCUGACAGACCUGAUCACCAACGACAGCGUGAGCUUCUUCCGUACAUCCAAGAAGAUGUACCCGCACAGGCCCGUUCUCAUGGUCAUCAGCCACGCAGCCCCUCACGGCCCCGAGGACUCGGCCCCCCAGUACUCAAGCCUCUUCCCCAACGCGUCUCAGCACAUCACCCCGAGUUACAACUAUGCACCCAACCCUGACAAGCACUGGAUCAUGCGCUACACGGGGCCCAUGAAGCCCAUCCACAUGCAGUUCACCAACAUGCUGCAGCGGAAGCGCCUGCAGACCCUCCUGUCUGUGGAUGACUCCAUGGAGACGAUUUACAACAUGCUGGUGGAGACAGGUGAGCUGGACAACACGUAUGUCGUGUACACCGCUGACCACGGCUACCACAUCGGCCAGUUCGGCCUGGUGAAAGGGAAGUCCAUGCCCUACGAGUUCGACAUCAGGGUCCCGUUCUAUGUUAGGGGCCCCAACGUGGAGGCCGGCUCGCUGAAUCCCCACAUUGUCCUCAACAUUGACCUGGCCCCCACCAUCCUGGACAUCGCAGGACUGGACAUCCCCUCGGAUAUGGACGGGAAAUCCAUCCUCAAGCUGCUGGACACAGAGCGGCCAGCAAAUCGGUUUCACUUGAAAAAGAAGAUGAGGGUCUGGCGGGACUCCUUCCUGGUGGAGAGAGGCAAACUGCUCCACAAGAGGGACAGUGACAAGGUGGAUGCCCCGGAGGAGAACUUCCUGCCCAAGUACCAGCGUGUGAAAGACCUGUGUCAGCGGGCCGAGUACCAGACCGCAUGCGAGCAGCUGGGGCAGAAGUGGCAGUGCGUGGAGGACGCCGCGGGGAAGCUGAAACUGCACAAGUGCAAGGGCCCCGCACGGCCCGGGGGCAGGGCCGUCUCCAACCUGGUGCCCAAGUACUACGCACAGGGCGGCGAGGCCUGCGUCUGCGACAGCGGGGAUGAGCAGCUCAGCCUGUCCGGACGCCGGAAGAAGCUCUUCAAGAAGAAGUACAAGGCCAGCUACGCCCGGAAUCGCUCCAUCCGCUCAGUGGCCGUCGAGGGGCACCACGUCGGCCUGGACGACUGGUCCCAGCCCCGCAACCUCACCAAGCGGCACUGGCCAGGCGCCCCUGAGGACCAAGACGACAGGAACGGCGGGGACUUCAGUGGCACCGGGGGCCUUCCGGACUACUCAGCCCCCAACCCCAUUAAAGUCACACAUCGGUGCUACAUCCUGGAGAACGACACGGUCCAGUGCGACCUGGACCUGUACAAGUCCCUGCAGGCCUGGAAGGACCACAAGCUGCACAUUGACCACGAGAUCGAGACCCUGCAGAACAAAAUUAAGAACCUGAGGGAAGUCCGCGGUCACCUGAAGAAAAAGCGGCCAGAAGAAUGUGACUGUCACAAAGUCAGUUACCACGCCCAGCACAAAGGCCGCCUCAAGCACAAAGGCUCCAGCCUGCAUCCGUUCAGGAAGGGUUUGCAGGAGAAGGACAAGGUGUGGCUGCGGCGGGAGCAGAAGCGCAAGAAGCAGCUCCGCAAGCUGCUCAGGCGGCUGCAGAACAACGACACGUGCAGCAUGCCCGGCCUCACGUGCUUCACCCACGACAACCAGCACUGGCAGACGGCACCCCUCUGGACGCUGGGGCCCUUCUGCGCCUGCACCAGCGCCAACAACAACACGUACUGGUGCAUGAGGACCAUCAAUGAGACCCACAACUUCCUCUUCUGUGAAUUUGCAACCGGCUUCCUAGAGUACUUUGAUCUCAACACAGACCCCUACCAGUUGAUGAAUGCAGUGAACACCCUGGACAGGGACAUCCUCAAUCAGCUACAUGUGCAGCUCAUGGAGCUGAGGAGCUGCAAGGGUUACAGGCAGUGUAACCCCCGGACCCGGAACAUGGACCUGGGACUGAAAGAUGGAGGAAGCUAUGAACAAUACAGGCAGUUUCAGCGUCGAAAGUGGCCAGAAAUGAAGAGACCUUCUUCCAAAUCACUGUGAGUUGAGGAACCAGUUUACCAGUCGACAUCUGGCCUGAUCCACUUUGUUUUGCCGAGGCUGUUCUGCAUGCGUGCCCUUUCUCACUUACUCCUCUCAUCUGUUCCCGUAAGAGGGGAAGCAGUCAUGUCAGUCUUUCCCAUAAAAUAACAUACUUGGAUAUAUUUCAUGUUCUAGAUUAUACUUUGUCUAAUACACCGUUGUUCUCCACGUCAUCAUCUGUGCUUGGGGACAACUGUGGGAAGGCUGGGAAGGUUAAGAAGCAUGAGAUGGACCUCCAAAAACAGAGGCAUCACCUGUACAAUGAAAAACUCUGAAUGACUUCCAGCAGACCUAUGAUGUUAGCCAAGAAGCCUGAGACACACAGAAUUCGCUUUCAGUCAACGUGGCAGAUUCUGGAAGAGAAGCAUCCAGGAGUAGUGAGACUUGGGAGUCCAUUUUUGCCCCUGCUUUUGCUAUGGAGUAUACCUCACCAGCUGCACAAAAUGCAUUUUCAUAUCAAAAGGUCACCACUAACCCUCUCUGAGAGGCUCACAAGGGAAGAACAACAGAGAGGUUUUCUUGGAAAUUUUCCCCAAGGGUGAACGUCACUGGAAUUUUUUUAAAGCACAGGGUAAGAACCACCCUGUUUUAAAUCCUCUUAUUCUUUUGGCCGUUCACAAAGAAGGAACUAGGAAGCAGGACAGAGGCAGGAAAUGGCGACCGAGUUUCACAAUGAGUCAACAGCACAAAAGUCAUAAAUUUAUACUUCACACUAGAACCCUGGCUGCCUCUGAAGAAACUGACUUCACUGUAUAUAUGUGACUAUUUACAUGUAACCAGCUCGGGAACUUUUAGGGGGAUUUGACUAAUAAGAAAGCCCAAUUUUCAAGAGUGGUGGUGUCAAUAAACGCUGUGGCCCAUGUAACAGAAAAGCCCGUGCAGUUGUAGACUUUCCUCUUCCUGACCAGAUGCCAUUUCUCCCAGGAUUCCUUUGUUAUCUGUCCCAGAACUGAUGUUUUUUAAAGUCCUGCAAAGACACGAAGUUGAUGUAUGUCCCAAGUUUUAAUAAAACUGUAUUUGUAAAGAAA